rnacentral:tmRNA from 1 species
UGUUCCUUUAAGGAACUAUGAUGCUAAACGGGAAGCGAAAUAUACGCUGUGGACUCGGGGGCGGUACCCGACACCUCCACCAUUUACGGGGGUGAACAAGUUUCGACACGCGUCGUAAAGGCUUUUUCUUGUAUCCGGUAUAGUACCACCGUUAUCGGGCUGUUUUUAUAAAUGCGAAUGAUAAUUUCGCUCCGGUUGCUUUGGCUGCUUAAUGUAGCCUAGCGCCACUUCAAUCCCUUGAACAUUUGAGCGUUUAAGGUGGGGUUUGGGGCUUUCCCAGCAACAGAAAAGUCCCUUU